rnacentral:rRNA from 1 species
GCAAGUCGAGCGAGAAAGCACUUCGCUGUGAGUAGAGCGGCGGACGGGUGAGUAACGCGUAGGAAGCUACCUAGUAGUGGGGGAUAACAUGUGGAAACGCAUGCUAAUACCGUAUACGCCAUAAGGGGGAAAGAGCGGGACAUUUGCCUCUUGCUAUUAGAUGAGUCUGCGUAAGAUUAGCUAGUUGGUAGGGUAAAGGCUUACCAAGGCGACGAUCUUUAGCUGGUCUGAGAGGAUGAUC